AGUUCUGACAUGGCGUAAACUUGUGAUUCAAUUCCCAUGCUAUUUCAGUGGACGUGCCGAGCGUAAUGGAGGAGAAUCUUCUCUGCUGUCACUGCACGCCUGGCCUGAGGGAAGAGACCGAGGAGCCAUGACGCAUAAAAUUUCUGCAUCUCUGUUCCAAGCGUCUUCUUUUUUUUCCGCCACACCUGUGAAGGAAUAAAAACAUCGGCGAUGAUCUGGCAUGCUCAGAUUUCCUAUUAGCUUAAUAGCGGAAAAGACAGAGCUCCCAUCGCCAGCAGGCCUGCUGAGACAGUGUGAGGACAGGUUGUUAUUCGGGCUCUCUCCAUUCCCUCGUGGCGUUAAGCACCGCGAUAUUUCUUCUUCUCUUCAGGGGAAAACCCAGAGGUGAAGACUGACACAUCGGUAAUCAGCACUCGAAGCCAGGAACUAAGAGUAAAUAAUGAAGUUCAUAAGGGCAAUACCCUCAGACUUGAUGUUCACCGUAGCAGCAGUUUAAGCAGAGCAGGUUGCGAUCCAAUCAGCCAAUCAUGUGAGAGCAGGACAGUGCAUAAACUCACACAGAAACAAGUCAAGAGUUUCAGUUCAUCUUCACGUCAAACAUCCGAAUGGAGAAACGUGUGAGUUCAGUGAUUUUAACCGUGGCAUGGCUGGAGACCUACCUUCCUGAAGACUUUAUCUCCAACCAUAAUGGUGCCCACCUGACCAUCUAAUCCAGGGGUGUCCAAUCUUAUCCACAAAGGGCCGUUGAGGGUACAUGUUUUCAUUCCAAUGAAGCAGGAGCCACACCCGAUUCCACCUGUUUAUUCAGUUGAUCUUGGCUUUCAAUAGACUCAGGUGUUGGAAUGGCUCGGUCGGAAUGAAAACCUGCCCCCACACCGGAACUUCCCGGAUAAGAUCGGACACCCCUGAUCUAAUCGUCGACCUUAAGAAGUUCUCGAUCAACCAUAACAGCUGUGUUCGAUUUCGUUUGGCGAUGAAACUUGCAGGAAGCUAGAUCUCAAGGAAGAGGGUUGGAGAGCACUGCUCGAGAGUUUACUCAGAACGGUGCGAAAAACAAAAAUCAUCCAGCAAGAUGAGCGGCAGAGCCUUGGACGGAAAGGUCUCGUCGCUGAGACAGAUCAGAGGAGAAUCGCCAGACUGGACGUCUAUACGGAACUCGGGACAUCCUGGAUGGGGUGCCAAUACAUUGCAGGGCAAAUUCACACACUGUGGACAAUUUAGACAUGCCAAAUCCGACUACAGCACAUGUCUUUGGAUUGGGGGAGGAAACCAGAGUACCCGGAGGAAACCCCCGAAGCUUGGGGGCAACAUGCAAACUCGACGCACACAGGACGGAGACGGGAUUCGAACCCCCGACCCUGGAGAUGGGAACACAUCACAGACAGCUGUCGUCCCACUCAACUGCAGGCCACUGGGAGUCUGGGGAAAACAUCCGGAGAGAGUGAACAAGAGAGAGAGGGACAGAUGAAAUGUGUCAGAUGCUGAGAGGUCAGACAGCUGAGAGAAGUGAGACAGGUGAAAGAGACCCAUGUGACGUAAGAGGUGCAUUCCUGAAAGACGAGUGGAGCUUAUUCCUGGAUGGAGCAGUGUGCUGCUGGGGGAAUGGAAAGCAGAGGACCUCCCCGUGUCCCCACACUGUCCUGCUGGGGGAAUGGAAAGCAGAGGACCUCCCCGUGUCCCCACACUGUCCUGCUGGGGGAAUGGAAAGCAGAGGACCUCCCCGUGUCCCCACACUGUCCUGCUGGGGGAAUGGAAAGCAGAGGACCUCCCCGUGUCCCCACACUGUCCUGCUGGGGGAAUGGAAAGCAGAGGACCUCCCCGUGUCCCCACACUGUCCUGCUGGGGGAAUGGAAAGCAGAGGACCUCCCCCGUGUCCCCACACUGUCCUGCUGAGAAAGGAAAGAAGCCAGUCAUCCUGACAGGAAACUCUGCCAUGCAGAAAGGAAAGUAACACACAUUAUCUCCCUGCACACUGAACUGAAAGUGUGAUAGCACUGCCACGAGGAAACACAACCACACACUACAGCAAUCAUCAGACAUUCACACUCACCGAGCUGCUGAGUUCUCUGUCCUGAUUGGUCAGAAGGCUGUAAGGCGGUCAUUUUCCAUCAGUGAACUGAACUCGUCGUUUCAGUACGGAAACCUAAACUACGGCUUUGCUUUUCAUUGUCCUUUUCACUGAUUUCUACAGGUCACUGUUUGUUGUUGUUGUUGUUGUUGUUGUUGUUGUUGUGGCAUUUUGGAGACAGCAACCUGCUGGGUGGGUUUAUGUCGGGUCAUUAAAAUUCCAUAUCUCUCUCUC